rnacentral:rRNA from 1 species
UACGGGGGGGGUAAGCGUUGUUCGGAAUUACUGGGCGUAAAGGGCUCGUAGGCGGCCAACUAAGUCAUACGUGAAAUCCCUCAGCUUAACUGGGGAACUGCGUGUGAUACUGGAUGGCUUGGAUUGGGAGAGGGAUGCGGAAUUCCAGGUGUAGCGGUGAAAUGCGUAGAUAUCGGAGGAACACCGGUGGCGAAGGCGGCAUCCUGGACCAAUAUUGACGCUGAGGAGCGAAAGCCAGGG